UCCUCCCUCCCUCCCGCCGGCCGCGCUCCGCCUCAGCCCAACAUGGCGAUGCACAACAAGGCGGCGCCGCCGCAGAUCCCCGACACCCGGCGCGAGCUGGCGGAGCUGGUGAAGCGGAAGCAGGAGUUGGCGGAGACACUGGCGAACCUGGAGAGGCAGAUCUAUGCUUUUGAAGGAAGCUACCUGGAGGAUACUCAGAUGUAUGGCAAUAUUAUCCGUGGCUGGGACCGGUAUCUGACAAAUCAAAAGAACUCCAACAGCAAAAACGAUCGGAGAAACAGAAAAUUCAAGGAAGCCGAGCGACUCUUCAGCAAAUCUUCGGUCACUUCAGCAGCAGCGGUCAGUGCGUUGGCUGGAGUGCAAGACCAGCUCAUUGAAAAGAGAGAACCGGGCAGCGGGACGGAGAGCGACACCUCUCCGGACUUCCACAAUCAAGAGAACGAGCCCAGCCAGGAGGACGCAGAGGAUCUCGACGCAUCCGUUCAGGGCGUCAAACCCCAGAAAGCUGCUUCUUCCACCUCCUCUGGCAGCCACCACAGCAGCCAUAAAAAACGGAAGAAUAAAAACCGGCACAGCCCGUCUGGCAUGUUUGAUUAUGACUUUGAGUAUGUAUAUUAGGUUAGGCUGGGAAGUUUUUUUUAAAAACAGAAAAACGUGAUGGAGGAUCGACCUGAAGUUAAACAAAAAGCCGAGAGCCGAAUAUUAGAAGAACCGUUAGUGCAAAAGCUUCCAGAUUUUAGAGCCCUCCCCAUACCACCUCACCUAGACGAAACACCCACCCGUCAACCGCGUGAACGUCGUCAGCUUCCCCGGAGCCGGCCCCGGCCCAGGGGGAGCAGUUUAUUUCGGGGCGGAGCGGAGCGGAGGGACCGAGCUGCUCUGUAAGACGUCGGCCCGUUUUUGUCCCCGUGUCAUUUUUAGUAACUGAAACGUAGCAAGACCAAGACGCGAUUUCAGUUGCCCUCCCCUCACGUGGCUAGUUGGCCCCGGGGGUCCCCUAGCCGGCCGCUCGAGCCCCGUCCAAUAUUGGUUUGGCCGGCUGGGGGAGGGCCCACCGGUCAGGAAGCAUUCUCUCUUUUUCUUUUAGACUGAAAUGGGAGUGUAAUCGAGUGGGUCGGCUGGAUUCUGUAAAUAUCAAACUUUUUUUUUUAAUUAUUAUUAUUAUUCUGAUUUGUGUUUUAUCUGUGGCCAUCAUCUUCUCCCCCCCCUUUUUUUUUUUGGAAACGCCCAUGUACAGUUUACCAUCCCUUUCCCCCUCCCGCCCUCCCUCCCCUCUGGAUUUCGGUUAGCCCGAAAUACUCUUUUCUCUUUAUUUUGCUUAGUGUCUCACUUGAAUUCUUACACUGAGAAUUUCUUUGAGUAGCAAAUAAAGUGGAUAACUGUCGUCCCCCCUCCCCAUUUUAAUUUUUUUUUAGGGUGUGGGGAGCAGAGGGUUUGAUGGAGAAUUUUAAAUCGACCUUAAUUUGUUAUGAAGUGGAAAGAAUUCUGGUGUACAGAUAUUACCUAGAGACCAUGAGUUUGAUUCCUUUUUUAAAUAGAAGUCUAUCAUUUUGUAUAAAAAAUAAAAUCUCACAGGUUUCAGUCUCUUCUCAUGCUUUUCUUUUAACUUGGAGAUUUCCCUCCACUACUUAUUUUAUUUAUUCAUUUCAUAUCAUACAAGAAUGUCAGUUUUCCCACCCCUUCCUUCUUUUCCAUUCUUCUCACAACUUCCCCUGAGCUUUCUUCUGUUCGACUCCUGGUCCCUCCUCUCAGACGGAGGGGUGGGGAUCAAGGAUUGAGUCAAACAAGCACUCUUCCUCGAUCGAUGGGGUCAGAUGGGGGGUGAAGGGCAAAUAGGGAUUUGGGGCUGUAAACCGAGGCACAUAUCGGACGUUCAUUUGGGAGCCGACUUCUGGACCAUUUAGUUGUGCACGAUGCUUGCUGCUUCCCAGUGUCACUCUUUCCCAUCCACCAGUCUUUAUUUGAAAGUGAUGCUACCUUGGCAGUCCGUGCCUCUUUUCCCUCUUCCCCACCCCCAGCCCCGCCAAGCGGAAGAUGGUCUCCCCGUGGCCUGACUGUUACAGGAAACUACAGUGUAUUAUCGGACCCUCUCCGAAACCGUUUGGAAAGUGUUUGCAUCUUUACCGUCAAAUAUUCCGACCGGUCUCUGGCCGCAUUGCUGUGCAGAUGUCUGAUAGCGGACACCAUUUGUCCCAAAUUCUCAAGUGUGUUUAUCGGUUCCGUCUCUUCCCGGUCGUGCUCCGAGCAACGCGUGACGGAGGAGGGAGAGAGUUCUCAGGCAAGAUUUGAUGGGAGGGAGGGCCCGGUGGGAUGUAAGAGCUUCGGCCAUCUGCUCCCACGUGACUUAGCAGAUUCUGCUUGACUUCCCCAAACUCUCGCCGGCUGACGCUUUUGCCAAGAGACUUGGGCGUUGUGCUGUCUGGUGAGAUUUUAUUCCGAAUGUCGGCCUACCCGGUGUGUUUGAAAAAUCGGUUGCUCGCUUUUGCUUUUUCUCUAUCGCUGCCUGGAGCAGGAGAGGGCGCGUGCAGGGGCUGCUUUAGGUGGGGUUGGAGGACCUCUCCCCCGUCACGAGGGAAGUUCACUGUGGGCAGGGAAUGUGACUGCCAAACUUACUGCAUUGUACUCUCCCAAAUGCUUAGUACAGUUCUCUGCGUAUAGUAAACGCUCAAUAAAUACCAUCGAUGACGAUGAAGCUGAGAGAGCAAAGAAGUGAGUGGUUCCUCAGAGCCUUAUUGGUGCCUUUUGGGACAGAGAGGUAUGUGAAGGAAAAAUUCUUGGAAGAAAAGACCUCACCUUCAAGUAUUUUUUGUCCAAACAUAAAUAAGGAACGAGGGAAGAAAUAUUUAGCCAUUCAAGGGGGGGGAAACAAAAGAGAACACUACAGGUGGUUAAAAUAGAAAAUGUGGGAGACUUUGUAAUGGAGAGAGAGAUUAUUGCUGGGAACCUAUUCAGAUUUAUUCCUCCGGGUUUGUUCCAGAGCUGGCCAGUCUCGCUGAUCUUGCCCCUCUGGAGAGUAGCCCAGAACACCGUCUCCUAUCCCGGGUGGCUUGAAACACCAGGGCGUCCUGGGACCCCUCCUCGAGGGGUUAUGGCAGCUGGGGCGAAAGGUCAUGGUCUUUGUGGGCAGGGCACGUAUCCGCUGAUUCUGCUCCAUUUAGUCUCCCAAGCGCUUAGUACAGUACUCUCCUCAUAGUAAGUGCUCAAUACCAUUGAUUGAUUAGGGGACAUCUGCUCUUCUCUAACGAGCUAAUGUUCGAAACCAAGAUUGUGCAGACUGAUUCCAAAAUUGGGUAAACAGUCUCUCGGGGUCUGGUUUGCUUAAGCCAAUCCCAGGGAAAUUCAUUCCCUCUACCUCAGCCGCCUUCAUUCCCUCCUUCCUCUGCUCUCCUCUCUUUCUUCUUUUUUCUCCUCCUCCUUUUCUUCUUUCUUCUCCUUCUCUUCCCCCCACCGAGUAGGGGUGGGGUCUGUCUGAAUAAUGAAUGAAACGACCUCAGGGAAGAUGACAUUUUUGCAGAGUCUGAACUGCUUCCUCUGACGCUGUCUUUAGGGUCACCCAGCAUUAUCACUCGCUCUUUGUCCUUGAAGCUCAAGCACCUAAAGCCCCAAACUUGAACCUCCCUCUCGGGGCCUGAUUAAAUUGAGCCAGAAAGAAAGAGGUGGAUGAUGAAGCGAGCAGUGGGCCGCUGUGGGGCUGGCGGGGGGAGGGUCCCGUGAAAAAUGUAACAUUUGAAAGACUUAGAUGAAGUCUCUCUUAAGGGAUUAAUGGCACGUGUGUGCUUGCCCGUGCGUGUGUGCGUGUGUGUGUAACUCUUUCAUGCUCUUGUGUAAACGUUGCUUCCCACCGGCAGUAUCACUGAUUGUACCUGACCGAGAAAUAGUGGGAACGGUAGAAGAUGUGACCUUUGUACCUGCAGAGGCGAUGCCGGGAAUGAGAGAUCCCAGUAUACCCACCCAGAAAUCUUACCUGGGGCCACCUUAAAUCCGUUGCCUAGAUGUCUUGAUUUUAUAGGUGAUCAUGAUGUGGAACAAAAUCUGGUGUGUUUAACUUGGAUAGCGCCGCUCUUGUAGAAUAAACAUUUUCACACUCUGAA